rnacentral:rRNA from 1 species
AGCCAGACUCCUACGGGAGGCAGCAGUGGGGGAUAUUGCACAAUGGGGGGAACCCUGAUGCAGCGACGCCGCGUGGGUGAAGGAGUGCUUCGGCAUGUAAAGCCCUCUCGGCAGGGAAGAAGCAAGACGGUACCUGACUAAGAAGCCCCGGCUAACUACGUGCCAGCAGCCGCGGUAAUACGUAGGUGGCAAGCGUUGUCCGGAUUUACUGGGUGUAAAGGGCGUGUAGCCGGGAAGGCAAGUCAGAUGUGAAAUCUGGAGGCUCAACCUCCAAAUUGCAUUUGAAACUGUUUUUCUUGAGUACUGGAGAGGCAGACGGAAUUCCUUGUGUAGCGGUGAAAUGCGUAGAUAUAAGGAGGAACACCAGUGGCGAAGGCGGUCUGCUGGACAGCAACUGACGGUGAGGCGCGAAAGCGUGGGGAGCAAACAGGAUUAGAUACCCGCGUAG